rnacentral:rRNA from 1 species
AAUUUUGGACAAUGGGGGAAACCCUGAUCCAGCCAUCCCGCGUGUAUGAUGAAGGACANCGGGAUNUNAAGUACUUUUGGCAGAGNAAAAAAGGUAUCCCCUAAUACGGGAUACUGCUGACUGUACCUGCAGAAUAAGCACCGGCUAACUACGAACCAUCAGCCGCGGUAAUACGUAGGGUGCAAGCGUUAAUCGGAAUUACUGGGCGUAAAGCGUGUGUUGGCGGUUCGGAAAGAAAGAUGUGAAAUCCCAGGGCUCAACCUUGGAACUGCAUUUUUAACUGCCGAGCUAGAGUAUGUCAGAGGGGGGUAGAAUUCCACGUGUAGCAGUGAAAUGCGUAGAUAUGUGGAGGAAUACCGAUGGCGAAGGCAGCCCCCUGGGAUAAUACUGACGCUCAGACACGAAAGCGUGGGGAGCAAAC